rnacentral:rRNA from 1 species
GGCCCCCGNUNCCUUCCGUAGGUGAACCUGCGGAAGGAUCAUUA